rnacentral:rRNA from 1 species
GACGAACGCUGGCGGCGUGCUUAACACAUGCAAGUCGAACGGAAAGGCCCUGCUUUUGUGGGGUGCUCGAGUGGCGAACGGGUGAGUAACACGUGAGUAACCUGCCCUUGACUUUGGGAUAACUUCAGGAAACUGGGGCUAAUACCGGAUAGGAGCUCCUGCUGCAUGGUGGGGGUUGGAAAGUUUCGGCGGUUGGGGAUGGACUCGCGGCUUAUCAGCUUGUUGGUGGGGUAGUGGCUUACCAAGGCUUGGACUGGUAGCCGGCCUGAGAGGGUGACCGGCCACAUUGGGACUGAGAUACGGCCCAGACUCCUACGGGAGGCAGCAGUGGGGAAUAUUGCACAAUGGGCGGAAGCCUGAUGCAGCAACGCCGCGUGCGGGAUGACGGCCUUCGGGUUGUAAACCGCUUUCGCCUGUGACGAAGCGUGAGUGACGGUAAUGGGUAAAGAAGCACCGGCUAACUACGUG